rnacentral:rRNA from 1 species
GACGAACGCUGGCGGCGUGCCUAACACAUGCAAGUCGAGCGAUGAAGUUUCCUUCGGGAAACGGAUUAGCGGCGGACGGGUGAGUAACACGUGGGUAACCUGCCUUGUAGAGGGGAAUAGCCUUCCGAAAGGAAGAUUAAUACCGCAUAAUAUUGUACUUUCGCAUGAAAGAACAACUAAAGGAGCAAUCCGCUACAAGAUGGACCCGCGGCGCAUUAGCUAGUUGGUAAGGUAAUGGCUUACCAAGGCGACGAUGCGUAGCCGACCUGAGAGGGUGAUCGGCCACAUUGGGACUGAGACACGGCCCAG